rnacentral:rRNA from 1 species
CAGUAGCCGCGGUAAUACGUAGGUCCCGAGCGUUGUCCGGAUUUAUUGGGCGUAAAGCGAGCGCAGGCGGUUAGAUAAGUCUGAAGUUAAAGGCUGUGGCUUAACCAUAGUACGCUUUGGAAACUGUUUAACUUGAGUGCAAGAAGGGAGAGUGGAAUUCCAUGUGUAGCGGUGAAAUGCGUAGAUAUAUGGAGGAACACCGGUGGCGAAAGCGGCUCUCUGGCUUGUAACUGACGCUGAGGCUCGAAAGCGUGGGGAGCAAACAGGAUUAGAUACCCCCGUAGUCCCUGUCUCUUAUACA